GGAGGUUGCAGUAAGCCAAGAUUGCACCAUUGCACUCUAGCCGGGGCGACAGGGCGAGACUCCGUCUCAAAAAAAAAAAAAAAAGAAAAAUGAAAGGUGGGAGGGGCCGGUGCGAGCAGUUGGGGUCCUGCUCUUUGGGGUGCGACCUCAGCCCAGGCAGGGCCUCCCUCCGUGGGACACAGUCCCGUGGGUUGGGCGGGGGAAAGAUACAUAGCCAGACAGGAGUGAAGGGGGCUCACUCGGUACAGCGAUGGGGGAUGUCCAGACGCGGGGCACUCAGGUGGGGAGCUGGAGCCGGCUGAGCAGCGCUGACCUAGGGUGCGGGGCGUGGUCCCUGGAGGCCUGGGAGGUUGACCCUGCCCUUCCCCUCCCCCGCCAGAAGACUCGAGCUCUGGGCUCAUGAACACUCUCCUGAAUGGACACAAGGUAAGCGACCUUCCUCCUCUCAAAGCACCUGGGGGAGAAAGGUCUGGAGGCUUCUAGAACCCUGAGUCAGAGCCAGUGCUCGCCCAGAUGUGUGCAAGCAGGGGCGGUGCCGCUGCACCGUGGGGACGCUGUUGAUUGUACUCCCACCGGGGUGUCCCAGGAGACCCUCCUAGGCUUGGGGCACACCCAGAAAGAGCGUGGCUGCCUUCUACCACCAGUAAAUUGCCACCUUGUCCCUUCGUCUUAGGGUGGGGACUGCGAUGGCUUCUCCACCUUCGAUGUUCCCAUCUUCACUGAAGAGUUCUUGGACCAAAACAAAGCGCGCGAGGCGGAGCUUCGGCGCUUGCGGAAGAUGAAUGUGGCCUUCGAGGAGCAGAACGCGGUACUGCAGAGGCACACGCAGAGCAUGAGCAGCGCGCGCGAGCGUCUGGAGCAGGAGCUGGCGCUGGAG
rnacentral:sRNA from 1 species